rnacentral:rRNA from 1 species
GACGAACGCUGGCGGCGUGCUUAACACAUGCAAGUCGAACGGACAGGCCCUGCUUUUGUGGGGUGCUCGAGUGGCGAACGGGUGAGUAACACGUGAGUAACCUGCCCUUGACUUUGGGAUAACUUCAGGAAACUGGGGCUAAUAUCGGAUAGGAGCUCCUGCUGCAUGGUGGGGGUUGGAAAGUGUCGGCGGUUGUGGAUGGACUCGAGGCUUAUCAGCUUGUUGGUGGGGUAGUCGCUUACCAAGGCUGUGAGGGGUAGCCGGCCUGAGAGGGUGACCGGCCACAUUGGGCCUGAGAUACGGCCCAGUCUCCUACGGGAGGCAGCAGUGGGGAAUAUUGCACAAUGGGCGGAAGCCUGAGGCAGCAACGCCGCGUGCGGGAUGACGGCCUUCGGGUUGUAAACCGCUUUCGCCUGUGACGAAGCGUUAGUGACGGUAAUGGGUAAAGAAGCACCGGCUAACUACGUG